rfam:Triticum urartu cultivar G1812 contig792271, whole genome shotgun sequence.
UACAUACUCCCUCCGUUUGAAAAACCUUGUCCCUUAAAUGAAUGUAUCUAGCAUUAACUUGAUGAUAGCUAGAUACAUUCAUUUGAGGGAUAAGCUUUUUCGAACGGAGAGAGUACACA